GCAGGUACAGUAAGAAAGUCUCAAGAACUCGAGGCAACAAGGCUCAAGCUAGCAUUAUCGAAGUGGUAAUACUCUGUAGCGAAGCAAUUGGCUCUCUCAAGCAUCCGAUGCACAAGCACAACUUUAGCAUUGAAGAUCAGGCUUUUUCUAGACAACCACAUCAGAUAGGCAACGUAUGCCAUCCUAUAUCCCUAGGGUGAACCCUCGGCCAUGCUCC
rnacentral:lncRNA from 1 species